AGGGAUCCUCCCACCUCAGCCUCCUUGAGUAGAGAGACAGAGUGAGACCCUGUCUCAAAACAAACAAACAAACAAAAUCACACUCUUUAUCCACUGCAAAACAGUGUAAGAAAAUAACUCUGGCCAGAGGUACCACAGUGUGCAGGGAAGGUGUGCGAAAGUUCUGACCCAAAUCUACUCAUUCCUGAAAUUCUUAAUAGCAAUGCAGGGUAGAACACAAGAAAAUUAAGUAGAAUACAGGGAGCCAUGCUAGUUUUUGUUCUACAAACAUAAGAGAAGGAAAUCUCUG
rnacentral:lncRNA from 10 species